ensembl:snRNA U1 U1 spliceosomal RNA
AUACUCACCUGGUAGGGGCGAUACUUUAGUCAUGAAGGAGGUUCACCCAGCAUGAGGCCUCGGCCAUUGCACCUCGGCUGUGUUGACCUUUGUGAAUUCCCUAAAUGUAGGAAUCCGACUGCAUUAUUUGUGGUAGUGGGGCCCUGCAUACACGCUCUCCCCUG